UUUCAAGGGCAACUAGGUAGCUCAGUGGAUUGAGAGCCAGGCUCAGAGAUAGUAGCUCCUGGGAUCAACUAUGGCCUCAGAUACUUCUUAGCUGUGUGACCUUGGGCAAGUCACAUUGCCUAGCCCUCACCACUCUUCUACCUUGGAGUCAAUACACAAUAUUCAUUCCAAGACAGAAGGUAAGGGCUUAAAUUAAAAAAAAAAAAAAUUUUUUUUGAGUUCCAAAUUCUCUCCCUCUCUUCAUUCUUUCCCCCUCCUUGAUAAGGGAGGCAAUUUGAUUUUGAUUAUAUAUGCGGGGUCAUCAAAACAUUUCUGUAUUAGCUAUGUCUCUGCAACUUAGUUGUAAAGAAUUGCCUGCAAGGCUGAGGAAUUAAAUAACUUGGUCAGUACAGAGCCAGUAUUUGUCUGAGGCAGGACUUGAACCCAAGUGUGAAGUUGACUCUCUAUCCAUUAUAAUAUACUCUCUCUCUCUGUAUGCCUGCCUACACAUUAAAAUCCAAAUGGGAAAUUGAAUCCAUUACCUAGACAUAUGUAAACCAGAUAUUCACUCCUGCCUUCCUCACCAUCUGGGUUGUACUAGCAAAGGGAGAUUUUCCCUGCUUGGCUUAUCCGGAUCCCAGGCUGAGGUCGUUGUUGUCAGCUCAUUUUGCACAAACAUUUAGCUCUGAAGAAGUGUGUUCAGUGUGAUCUAUUUUUUCCCCUUCAUUUGUCCCCGGUCGUAUUUUUUAAAGGGUAUUUUCUGUGAGGAGGGAAAAUGUCAAGGAUGGGGGACCAAGAGGAGGUAAGGCAGUGGGCCAAGGUGGAAAGGUCCUGGAGGGCUGAAGGAGGCCAGCACCAGUGGGAGAGGAAAAGAGAAAAAUGGGCCAGAAAAGAAGCUGCCUCUGGGCAUGGGAACUGAGAGAGCUGGCCUGCUCCUGCUCCCAUCCCACUGGCAGUGUCGCUGAUGGUGGCCCAGGCUCUCCCCAGGAGGCCCGCAGCUGGCAGUUAAAGGAGCUGGGGUGAGUGUUGUGCAAAUCCUAACCCAUGCCAGGUGGAGCUCUGCCUCUUUUUAUGGUAGGCCAAGAGCAGCUGUUUCUUAUUGCUUUCAUCUGUGGGGGGUAAAGAGGUGGUGUCAGAGACACGGGGAAUGGACUGCCAUCUCCUCCUCUGAGACGAAUCUGAAUUAAAAAAUUCUUUUUUUUUUCUCCAUAUCUUGAAAUCACCUCGAUUCCUGAAUGUAUCCCUUUACUCUCCUCUAUCCAGCCAGCUAUAUACCUUAUUGCAAUGAAAAGAAAAAGUAGAGCGGGAGAAGCACUGUGGUACUGUGAAGGCAGGUUUGUAGGAAAACCCUAAGGACAUGGAUGGUCUAUCAGGGAAGGAUUAGAUUCAAUCUUAUAUAUACUGGGUUUUUUUGUUUUUUUUUUGAAAGGUUAACUGACUAUGGAGAUGGCUAUGACUCUUCAUGAGAAGUCAAACUUGGGAGUUGCCCAAUGACAGCUUGAAUCACAAGUGUCUGGGAAGCCAUUUGACAGAUGUUUGCCACUGGCACCAAGGAUGUUUGGAUGUCUAUAAUCUGCUUCUGGGAAGAUUGUGCAAAGUAAAAGGGCUCUACUAAAUGUAGGCCAAUAACAUCACCUUUAAUGGGCAACAGAAUCCUUAACAAAAUAAGAUUUCCAAGUUUCAACUCAUAGCCUAGUACUUUAUUUUUAUUUUUUUUUAAAUCCUUAUCUUCUGCCUUAUUGGUUCCAAGGCAGGAGAGUGGCAAGGGCUAGGCAAUGGGUUAAGUGACUUGCUCAGGGUCACGUAGCUAGGAAGUGUCUGAGGCCAAAUUUGUACCUAGGACUUCCCAUCUCUAGGCCUGGCUCUCAAUCCACUGAGCCACCCAGCUGCCCUCAUGUUUAUUUUUUUUAAGAUAUUUUAUUUUCCAAAUUAUAUGUAAUAACAUUUUUCUAACUAUAUUUUCUAAAGUUAUAAGAUCCAAAUUGUCUCCCUUUCUUUUUUUCCCUACUUAGGGAGAGAGUAAGCAAUUUGAUCUUGGUUAUACAUGUAUUAUCAUGCAAAAGAUAUUUCCAUAUUUUUCAUUGUUAUUAGAGAAUAAUCAUAUAAAACCAAACCCCCAAAAUAAAAACACAAACUAAUGUGAAAGAUAGUAUGCUUUGAUCUGCAUUCUGACUCCAACAGUUCCUUGUCAGAAGUCUUUCAGAAUUGUCUUGGAUCAUUGUAUUGCUGAGUAGCUAAGUCUUUGGAAGAAGGGAAUUGAUUAUAGUACCAUAUUGCUGAUACUGAGUACAAUGUCAUCUUGGUUCUGUUUAUUUCACUCUGUUUCAAUUCAUGUAGGUCUUUCUAAGCCUUUUUCCCCUUGAAAUCAUCCUGUUCAUUGUUAUUUUUUUAAAUAGCACAAUAGUAUUCAUCACCAUCAUAUACAAACUUUGUUCAGCCAUUCCCCUAUUGAUGGAUAGCCCUCCAAGUUCCAAUUCUUUGUCACAACAAAAAGAGCUGCUAAAUUUUGUGCAAGUAGGUCCUUUCUUCUUUUUAUUGGAUCUCUUUGGGACAUAGCCCUAGUGUGGUAUUAUAGUGUGGUAUGUAAUUUUAUAUCCCUUUGAGCAUAGUUCCAAAUAGCCCUCCAGACUAGUUGAAUCAGUUUACAACUCUACCAACUAUGCAUGAGUGUCUUAAUUUCACCACAUCCCCUCCAACAUUUAUCACUUCUCUUUACUGUCAUAUUGAUCAGUCUGAUAGGUAUGAGGUGGUACCACAGAGUUAUUUUAAUUUUUGCAUUUCCCUAAUCAAGAGUGAUUUUUUGGAUAUGAUUAUUGAUAACUUUGAUUUCUUUAUCUGAAAACUGAUUAUUCAUAUACUUUGACCAUUAAUCAAUUGGGGAAUGGCAUGUAUUCUUACAAAUUUGACUUAGUUCUCUACAAAUCUGAGAAAUGAGACCUUUAUCAGAGAAAUUUGUUGUAAAAUGUUUUCCCAGUUUAUUGUUUCCCAUCUAAUUUUGGUUACAUUGGUUUUGUUUGUACAAAACCUUUUAAAUUUAAUAUAGUCAAAAUUAUUUUACACCUUAUAAUGUACUCUACUUCUUAUCUGGUUAUGAAUUCUUCCCUUCUCCAUAGAUCUGAAUAUAUUCUAUAUUCUAACUAUUUACUGAUGGUGUUGCUCUUUUUGUCUAAAUCAUAUACCCAUAUUGAUCUUGUCUUGGUAUAGGGUGUGAGCUAUUGGUCUAUACCUAGUUUCUGCAUUACUGUUUUCCAGUUUUCCCAGUAGUUUUUGUUAAUAAGUCAGUUCUUAUCUAUCCCUAAAACUGGGUUCUUUAAGUUUAUCAAACACUAGAUUGCUAAGGUCAUUUACUCUUUAGAUUGUAUAUCUAAUCUAUUCCAUUGAUUUGCUACUCUAUUUCUUAGCCAGUACCAGAUUGUUUUGAUGAUUACUGCUUUAUAGUACAGUUUGAGAUCUGGUAGUGCUAGGCAUGGCUUACUUCUUAAAGGAAAAUAAUAGCACAGGUAAAGAAUAGGGUUUGACACGUAGUGCAAAAAGAUCCUGUAAUAUGCCAAAAGAUGUGGAAAAAGUGAAAAGAGUGAGAUGGAGUUAAGGAAGGGUUCAAGGAGAAGGUGAUCUUUGGGCCAGGUUUAGAGGGAGAGGGAGGGAUAAGGAUGGAUAGAUUGGAAGAAGGGAGUCAUUUUAAGUAGAAUUGUUAGUGAAGUGGAAUCUAUAUUGGGAGAUUAUUUAAAUUCAAGUAAAAUUUGGAAAUAAUGUAAGUGACUUUCAGUGCAUAUUGGGCAAUGUAUUGUGGCAAAUGCUGGGAGAAAUAUGAAAAUAGGUGAUACAAUGCACACAAAAUACAAUGCAUACAUAGAUAAUUCUAGUAUAGAUUCAGACAAGAUCAGCAUGGAAUGGAAUAUAAUAACAUUCUUAAGUACUUACUAUGGGACAAGGCAGAGAGGUACCAAAAAAAGUUUCUUCAGAAGGUCAGAAAAAGGAAAGACCAUUUUUAAAACUUGGGACAUCAAGGAGAAAGUGGCAUUUGAGGAUGAAGAAUGGCUACAAUCCAAUAGGCAGAGUUGGCAGUGGGGAGCUCCAGGUUAAGGGAAUGAGUGUGUACUCAGGCUUCUUUGGAGUAGAACUCAUAACACCCAAGGCUGAAAAGCAGGGUUGGACUCUGGCUUUGGAGAGCUUUGAAAACCAGGUUAAAGAAUUUGAAUUUUAGAAUCACUGAUUAAGAAAUUGAAGAGGCCUCAAAAACUGUCUAAUCCAAACCCUUCAUUUAUAGUUCAAGAAAUGGAGGUCCAAGAAGUAAAGUGACCUCCUUAAGGUAAUGCAGGCAAGAAUCAGAGGAAGUAUUUGAACCCGAGAUCUCUGCUCUGAGUUGAAUCUUUACUUUAUCUGAGUCAGUGCUUGUUCCUCCUUUUUAUAUGGCAAUCAACAGGGAACCUCUAAAGGGCUUAAGUAGAUGUAUAAUUUGAUCAAAUCUAGUCAUAGGAUAAGGAUUGGGACUAGACCUAUGGUUUCAUUGGCACAGGAAACCACAGGUAAAGAUAUCUCUACACCAGUGCAGAUUGGCACCUUUUCUGUACCUAUUUUUAGUCUUAGAGGACUGCCUGGAAUACAGAGACGUUAAAGGACCUGCAGAGUCAAACAGCUAAUAUAUCAGAAGUGAAACUUGAACUCGAGAUUUCCUAGCUAGAAUGAGGAAGAUUAAACUGAGAGAAGUGUGAAGGACAGCUUAGAAAGGAAGAAAGUAGAAUUAGGGGGACCAUUGAGGAAGCUAUUGGAGUGGAGGUAAGAAUAAUAGUAAUAACUAGCAUUUAUAGAGUGCUGAAGAUUUGCAAAGUGCUUUACACACAAGUUUGAGCAUGGCAUUCCCCCAUUCAAUAAACUCCAGGUGCAAAAUUACCAAAUGCUCAGUUUGGCAUUCAAAGCCCCUUUUAACCAAACUCCCACCUACCUUAAUCUUCUCACAUAUAUACUUCCCAAUAAGGACUUUUCCAUCCAGUGACACUGGCCUCCUGGCUGUUCUUUGAAUGAGGCACUCCAUUUUUCAGUUUUUUUUUUUUAUCUUACUCUCUCCCAUGCCCAGAAUGCUUUGCCUCCUCUACUCUUAAGUAAUGACCUUACAAGCUUUAAGUCUCAACUAAGUCCCGAUUUCUCUUAAUUCCAGCACAUUCCUGUUUAGAUUGCUCUUUACUUGCAUGUUGUCUUCCUCAUUUGAUUGUAAGCUCCUUGAGAGCAGGCACUACCUUUUCCCUCUUUCUGUAUUCCCAGCCCAUACCUUAAUGUUGUGGUGCUUGCCCUUUGUUUCCGAAGAGAAGCAAUGUGCUGACUUGGGAAUGAAUUAGAUUUAAGGGAGGCAGAGAGGCACAAAGGCUUCAUUCAGAUUCUCUCUUCCAGUUGCCUGGACGUCCAGUAGCAAGACAAAAGUCAGGACAGCUGGAGAGGGCCCGAGAUGUAGUGGAUGACUCUGGCCUUUUCAAUGACUGACCAAGCUCAAGGCAUUCCAUAGCUCUUGCUUCAGCUACCUUCAUCGCCACUGGAAUAAAAGGCACUUAGUAAAUGUUUAUAUGAAUUUACAAAAACAUCUCAUUUUAUUCUCACAACAACCCUUGGGAGGAAAGACACUUCUGGUCAGGAUUCUGGUCCUUCCAGCCACUCCUGGUACCAGCUGUGACCUUCCUCUCCUUCACAUCCUCUUCAGUCAAAAGUUUCCAUGCUUUGCACACGGACUAUCCUGAGGCUACAUUCUCUACAGGUUUUCAUGGCUACUUCAGUGUGUCUUGACUGUCCUAUGUUAAAGGAAGGAGAAAGGUGAGGCACCGCCUGAGGGUCCACUAUGUGCUUCACACCACUGGACAAGAGUUUCCACCACCCGAAAGGAUUCUGACAGCUUUUGUGAAGACUUCUGUGAGUAUUGCACCAUCAGCCAAGAUGCCUUUCCUCUUACCACCUGUAAAAGCAUAAAAAACGGGGAUCUACCCACCACCUGCCAAUACAAUGAAACCACUUCCAUGCAAAGACUCUACCCACUUUGUUCCAGAAAAUACAAUGCUGACCUCAUAUAUAUCAUUGGCCUCCUCUAAAGGUAGAACUGGGAGGGACCCAAGUGUUAGGGGAAACCUAGGCUCAGAUCCCUGGCAAAACAAUGGUCAGGCUGUUGUUCCCUGCUUGUGGAGUAUAAGUCUUCCCCCUGCCCUCUGCACCCCUCCUAUGACAACAAAGCAGGCCAAGCCAGUUUCCAGGAAACCAGAUCAUUCCUCAGAGUUUCCAAGGGCCCCAGACCACUCCCCACUGUCUGUAUAUAAAGAUUAUAACAGUUACCCCAUAGACCAUCAGGAAAUUGACCAUUACUCUUUGGGCAAGUCCAAGCCUGUGCCCCCAGCCGAUCUUCUAACCCAGAGAUAUAGCCCCUCACCCUCUUUAAGAGUACAGAAUCUUCCCUUCCCUUCCCCCCUUUUCUUAUGAAGCUAACUCCAUCCAGUUGGCAGAGGCUGGCUGUUCACUUGGCCGGAUCCUGAAAACUGGCAAGAGGCCCAGAGCCAUGGCCAGCACCAUGACAACAGCUGGCCGGCCUCUCUUCCCCCCCAGCCCCCACCUUCUAUCCCCACUACUUCUUUCUCUGCUCAGCUUCCUCCAAAGAGUAUCUUUGUUUGCUAGACACUGGCAAUCCAGUCUCUGAAGCACCCAGCCCCCUCAAACUCAUCCUGGGGUCACAGAUCCCCUUCCCAUUCCAUCUUUCUUACCUCUUUAACCACACAAACCACAAUUCCCAGGCUCUUCCUUUCUUUCUAGUUAUUAGGCUUCCUUUUAUAUAUAAUCUGCUCUUUUCUUUCUCUGGAUCCCUUAACCGACUCUCUAUUUGUGAGUUUGGGUAGGAUAGAGUAAGAGGAAGUCUUUUAAACCAUGGACCAGCCUGCUUUAUUUAUCUGGAUAUAUAUUGAAAUCUUGGGAAGGGGUACGAGAGAAUUGAGAGGGAUGGGAGUGUUGGGGUAGCUACAGAUCUGGGAGCCUUCAGAACUUCAAAUUCAACAAACUCCUUUCCUUCCUCUCUAGGUCCUUCAUUUCCCCCUCUGCUCGGUCUCCUCUUCUUUCCUCUCCCUUGGGAUUCUUUCUUUUCCCCUCAGAAGGUCCCUCAAACAACCUCUCUUCUACAUUGACUCCAGUAGAUCUGUGGUUAAUGGGACAGGGAGCAGAAGAGUAAGGAAGGCAAUGUUAGCUGUAUGAUCAUGAGUAAAUGGCUUAAUUUCUAUGAGCCUCAAUUCUCUCAUCUGAAAAAUGACCGUAAUUCCUCUAGCAUCCACCAAAAAAAUGGUUUUCAAUGAGAGAGAAUAUAUGUAAAGCACUUUGUAGAUAUUGAAGUGCUAUGUAGGUGCCAGUUACUUGAUUUGUAUAUAAAAUUAGUCUGGUAGUGGUGUAGUAGUAGAGAGUUGGGAUAAACUAUUAAAAGGCUAUUAUAAAGUACAGGCAGAGACUAUUAAGGGCCUAUCCUAAGAUAAUAAAUGGAAGACAGCCAGGUAGCUCAGGGGAUAGAGAGCCAAGCCUGGAAUAGGGAGGAUGUAGGUUUAAAUGUGGCCUCAGAUACUUCCUAGCUGUGUGACCCUGGGCAAGUCACUUAACCUCAGUUGCCUGGCCCUUAAUAUUCUGCCUUAGAACCAAUACUUAGUAUUGAUUUUAAGUUAAAAGGUAAGAGUUUUUUUAAAGAAGAUGUUUGUGGGAAUGAUAAAGGGAAUUUGGGAGAGAUGUCAGUAAUAGAAAUGGCAGGAGUUAAUUUAUGGAUGUGAAGGAAGAGGGCAAAAAUAAUUGUUGGAGGCUAGAUGAAUGCCAGGGCCUGAUAAUUUGAUUAUCUCUUAUCCCCUCUAGAGCUGUCUCUCCAAAUUACAAUUAGUAGAGGCAUGUGAAAUCUAAUCCAAUCAAUCAAUGAAUAUUAAUAUUUGAAUAUAUGCUAGGCACACUGAUAAAAACAACUCGCAUUCAUAUAGUGUUUUAUUUUACAUAGUUUCAUUUGAUGUUCAUAGCCAUCCUGUGAAUUAUUGGAGAUACAGAGGAUUGGACCUGUGAUUUUGUUGGAAUAGGGAGCCUCCAGAUGAGGAAUCUUCUUCUGCUGAUUUAGGUUGUCACAUUCUCUGACUCUUAAAAGAGUCCUAGAGUUUUUUAGAGCACUGAAAAGUUGUGACUGGAGUCACAGCCAAUAUAUGUUGGAGGAAGAACUUGUUAUCAGAUCUCUGUGUGACUCCUCCUUUGCCAGCUUUCCAUCCACUACUCCAUGGCUAUAGUUAAGAUUUAGACUUUAUUAUGUUAUUAGUACCAUUUUAUUAAGAGAAAAAUGAGGCCCUUGGAGAUUGCUACCUGUCCAAAGUCAUAACAGAACUUGAGGGUGGGACUAGAACCCAAGACUUUUUGUUCUAAGUGUAAUGAGGGCCAUCCUCUUGGGAAUGCAGGAAGUUUCCUCUCUUUAAUCUUGCUGAUCUCAUAUACUGACUCAACCCUUGGGUGUGUUGGAGAUGGCUCACCCUUGUAUAGGAUUCAAAGAUGAAGUGUGUAGGCACUGAAAUAACAAAGCAAUCCCCUCACUGACUGAUUAGUCAGGAGUCUAUGAAAAGCUUUGACUCUCUCAUAUGGCAGGUACUGUUCUCUUUUAACACGUUAGGUGGUCUAGAGGUCCAGAAGUCCUGAGAUGAGGGGGUUGAAGAAAGCUUCUAGAUAGAAGACAGUUUCUUGCAAAAUCUUUGUGAAGAAAGUACUUGUCUCAUACCUGGUUUAUGUUGUACAUCAAGUACCUUUCUGCUCCCCCCUUUUAGAAGACCACAGACAAGAAGCUAAGCUCUAAAUCAUUUGUCCCCAGUGGAUGUCCAUCAAUUGAGGAAUGGCUAAACAAGUUGUUCUAUAUGGUUGUAAUAGAAUACUAUGUACCAUAAUAAAUGACAAACCUGAUGAGUUCAGAAAAACUUGGAAAGACUUAGAUGAACUUAUGCAAAGUGAAGUGAACAGAACCAGGAGAACACAGCAUACAACAGAAAUAUUGUACAAUGAUCAACUGUGAAGGACUAAACUAUUAUCAGCCAAACAAGGUUUCAAAAUAACCCCAAGGGACUCAAUGAAAAACGCUGUCUGCAACCAAAGAAGGCACUGUUGGAGUCUGAUUGUAGAGCAAAGCAUGCCAUGUUUCACUUUAUUUCCUUCAUGAGUUUUUUCUUGUAUGUACAGUAUGUAUCUUCUUUCACAGCAUGAAAAAUAUGGAAAUAAAUAUUACAUGACAUCCUGAGUAU